rnacentral:lncRNA from 1 species
CUCUGGGGUGAGUGAGGCCCAGGCUGCUUCUCCGGUUGUAUCACCUCAGAUGGAGCAGCUGUGUCUGUGUUCCCAAGAUCACCCAGCAGUGGCCGAAGAACGCGGAGGCUCACACUGGAGUCGGCCUGGCCAGGUUCACGUCAUGGAUACAGGAAUGAAUCAAGGUCACCCCCUGGAGGCGAAGUUGUUGCCUGCAUGAACGGGAGUGGAUGGAUUUGUUCUCAGGUCCUGGCUACUCACCUGAGAGCAGUAAAUACACAGUCCUUGUCUCCAGGAGGCUCAAUCCGGUGGAAAAGCGAGGCUGAAGAUACUCACACUUCCUAAGGGGUGGACACAGGCACAUACGGCAGACUACAGGCUCCUCGAUCCAGUACCCAGGCCUGGCUUGGUGACUGACAUUAGAUGAAACAAUAAAAGGAAGACCUACUGCCA